ACCGUGGCGAGGUCCCGUUCUCGUUUGUCAACACCCUCACAUCAAAUCAAAGAAGGAAGAUAAACUAGACGAGAGUGAAAUGGACCCGCGCACUGAUCCCUCCCCACAGCUGCUCCGCUCGCAUCUCCUCCACGCACGUCGUCGUCAAGGCGCAACGCAAUGGACCGGCCGCCUUCUCCGCCGCAGCUCCGCGUCCUGGAGAGCACCGUCGUAGCGCCACCGCCGGCGCCGGAGACCUCCCUCCCGCUCACCUUCUUCGACGUCUACUGGCUUAACUCCCCGCCGGUGGAGCGCCUCUUCUUCUACCGCCUCACCCCAGGCCCGGAUGGCGUCCCCUCGGCCAUCACCUCCAGCCUGAGGUCCUCGCUCUCCCACGCCCUCCGCGCCUACUUCCCGCUCGCCGGCCGCCUCCGCCUCAUGCCCGGCACCGCCGACCGCUACGAGCUCCACUACCGGCCCGGCGACGGCGUCGGCUUCACCGUCGCCGAGUACGCCGCCGACGUCGACGAGCUAGCGGCCGACGGGCCGAGGGAGGUCGCCAGGAUCUUGCCGCUCGUGCCGCCUCUCUCGGCGGGGGUCGGCCCCGUGCUCGCCCUGCAGGCCACCGUGCUCCGCGGCGGCCUCGCCGUCGGCAUCUCCCUGCACCAUGCCGCCUGCGACGGGGCCUCCUCCACGCGCUUUCUCCAUGCCUGGGCCGCCGCCAGCACCGGCGCCGCCGCGCCCCCGUCCCCUCUCAUCGACAGGAGUCUCGUCACCAGGCACCCCAGCUCCCGCCACAUCUACGACAUGUACGUCGCAGACCUCACGAGCACCAAGGAGAUGGAGUACGUCGAGAUGUCCAGCGACAAGCUCCUGGCCACCUUCACGCUCUCCAUGGACGACAUACAGCGGGUCAAGGACGUCGUCUUCGCCGCGGCCGGCGAGGCGGGAGCGCCGCCGCCGCGAUGCUCCUCGCUCGUCGCCACCUUCGGCCUCAUCUGGUCCUGCUACCAGCGCGCCAAAUACGACGACGACGCAUCAUCAAGCGGCGGCGACCCGACCUACAUCCUCUUCCCCAUCGACCACCGCGCGCGGAUGAAGCCCGACCCCGUCCCGGACGAGUACCUCGGCAACUGCAUCGGCGCCGCCCAGCACGCCGCGCCCAAGGACCAGCUCGCGGCGGCCGGCGCCGGAGGCAUCCUCACCGCGUGCACUGCGGUGGCCGCGGCCAUCGAGGACGCGAUGGGUCACACCGCGUCCCCCGAGAAGAUGGUGUCGUGGCCGGAGAAGAUCAGGGAGGCCGUCGCGACCGGCGGCGGGGUGCUGAGCGUGGCCGGGUCGCCGAGGUUCCAUGUCUACGACGUCGACUUCGGGUUCGGGCGGCCGGUCAAGGUGGAGAUCGUGUCCGUGGCGAGGACCGGCGCCAUGGCUUUGGCGGAGAGCCGCCGGAGCAGCGGCAUGGAGGUGGGCAUCUCCCUGCCGCCGGCUGGCAUGCAGAGGUUCCAAAAGUGCUUCGAUGAUGCCAUUGCAUGGCUUCAUCACCAGUAAACAAGCUAGCGAUAUAUACACUCUACCCGAGUUCAUCUUUUGUAUAUGCAUCCUUGGACUCUUGAAUAUACAUUGUAAUUUUAUAAUUGGUACUUGCUAUUUAACAGGCAACUAAAAAUAAAUUUGAGAUC